GACGUAGGGCGCGAGCGUUGUCCGGAUUUAUUGGGCGUAAAGAGCUUGUAGGCGGUUUGUCGCGUCUGCUGUGAAAAUCCGGGGCUCAACCCGGACUUGCAGUGGGUACGGGCAGACUAGAGUGUGGUAGGGGAGACUGGAAUUCCUGGUGUAGCGGUGGAAUGCGCAGAUAUCAGGAGGAACACCGAUGGCGAAGGCAGGUCUCUGGGCCACUACUGACGGCU
rnacentral:rRNA from 1 species